rnacentral:rRNA from 1 species
AUACGUAGGGGGCGAGCGUUGUCCGGAAUGAUUGGGCGUAAAGGGCGCGUAGGCGGCCCGGUAAGUCUGGAGUGAAAGUCCUGUUUUUAAGAUGGGAAUUGCUUUGGAUACUGUCGGGCUUGAGUGCAGGAGAGGGAAGUGGAAUUCCCAGUGUAGCGGUGACAUGCGUAGAGAUUGGGAGGAACACCAGUGGCGAAGGCGACUUACUGGACUGUAACUGACGCUGAGGCGCGAAAGUGUGGGGAGCAAACAGGAUUAGAUACCCUGGUAGUCCACACUGUAAACGAUGAAUGCUAGGUGUAGGGGGUAUCGACCCCUUCUGUGCCGCAGUCAACACAAUAAGCAUUCCGCCUGGGGAGUACGGCCGCAAGGUUGAAACUCAAAGGAAUUGACGGGG